rnacentral:lncRNA from 1 species
GGAUGGAUCUCUUAAUCAUUAAAUAGUGUCCUUCUUUGUCUUUAUGUCUUUUGUUUUAAAGUCUAUUUUGUCUGAUGUGAGUGUUGCAACUCCUGCUUUCCUGUCAUGUCUAUUGGCGUGAAAUAUUUUUCCCCACCCCUUCAUUUUCAAUCUAUAUGUAUCCUUUGUCCUGAGGUCAGUUUCCUAUAGGCAGCAUAUUGAAGGUUUUUGCCUUUUUAUCCACUCAGCCACUAUGUGUCUUUUGAUUUGAGCAUUCAGUCCAUUGACAUUCAAAGUGAUAAUGGAUAGAUGAUUAUUUAUUGCCAUUUUGAACCUCGUGUUCCAGUUGAUUCUAUGGUUCUCCAUUCUUCCUUUCUUUUUUUUUUUUUUUUUUUGGUUGGAUGAUCUCCGGUUAUUAUCUGUUUGAGUGGUUUUUUUUUCAUUUUUUGCAAAUGCAAUGUUUGGUUUUGGCUUGUGGUUGCCCUGUUUUUUAAAUAUGCUAACCCCUUCCUAUAAUUGUGUGUUUUAGCCUGAUGGUCCUGUAGGUUCAAACCCAUUAUUCCUAUACUAAAAUUAAAAAGAGAAACAAACAAACAAUGGCUCUAUUUAUUUUCUUUCUUCCCUUGCCCACAUUUUAUGAUUUUGAUGACUCUUUUUUUUCUUUUUAAUUUUAUUUUGUUUGAAGCAUAUUCAUGAUUAAAUCUGUAUGCUGGCUUAUUUGAGUGACUGCUCUCUGAUUGCAGUUUCCUCAGUCCUAGUUCUUCCUCUUCUUCUUCUUUUUUUUUUUUUUCCUUUUUCCUCCCUUUCUUUCCUUCCUUUCUUUUUGGUUUAGAGAAGCCCUUUCAGUAUUUCUUUUAGUCUCGGUUUGUAUUGCUGUAUUCUCUUAACUUUUGUUUGUUGAAAACAAAAAUUAUUUCCCCUUCUAUUUUAAAUGAUAUUCAUGGUGGAUAGAGUAUUCUAGGUUGCAUGUUUUUUCCUUUUAGCACUUUAAAUAUCUCUUGCCAUUCCCUCCUGGACUGUAGAGUUUCUGUAGAGAAAUCAGCUGAUAAUCUUAUGGGGGUUCCCUUGUAGGUAACAUUCUGCUUUUCUCUUGCUGCCUUUAGGAUCCUCUCUUUAUCACUAACUCUUGCCAUUUUUAUUAUAAUGUGUCUUGGUGUGGGUCUAUUUUGGUUCAGCUUGUUUGGGGCUCUCUAUGAUUCCUGUAUCUUGAACUCAGUAUCCUUUAGAUUUGGGAAGUUUCCAGUGAUAAUUUCUUCAAAUAUAUUUUCCAUUCCCUUAUCUUUUUCUACUCCUUCUGGAAUUCCUAUUAUGUGUAGAUUGGCCUGCUUUGUAUUAUCCCAUAGGUCUCUUAUAUUUCUUUCCUGCUUUUUGAUUUGGUUUUCUGUCUGCUGACCUGAUUGGGUGAUUUCCAUUAUUCUAUCUUCCAUAUCACUGAUUCGUUCUUCUGCAUUAUUCAUUCUGGUUAUUACUGCCCUUAGUUCAGUUUGUAUCUCUGCAAAGGAAUGUUCUAGUUUUUCUUGGCUCCUCCUUAUAUUUUCUAGUUCCUUUCUGAGGGUGUCUGCAUUACUGUUCAUAUCUUCUCUUAAUUCCUUCAGGAUUUUCACUAUUUCUCUUUUGAACUCCAGGUCUGUCAGACUGCAGAGGUCUGUUUCAUUGUUGACUGCUUUAGGUGAUUUCUCCUGUUGGUUCAACUGGGGGUGGUUUCUCAGCUUUUUCAUCUUGCUUGUUGUUUUCUUUUUCUUGGUGGAGUUGUACUCCCCGUGGCUGGGUAGGGUUUGCCUUGGCACUGCUAUGGAAUAUUUUCUGAGGGCUGGUGUUGUUGGUCAGCCUUUUUUGAGGCAGUGUGGCUUUUCUGGAGUGUUGGCAGAGCUAACAGGGUCUCUCUGAACAAAGGAGGACUUCCUGAAGGCAGACAGGACUGGGAGGGCCACACCACGAUGGUAGCAGAUUUCACUCGGUCAGGCAGAGCUUUCUCUGGUGUUUUUAGGCUGUGGGGUUCUUGCAGGGGGUUGGCGGUGUUGGGCAGCUGUUCCUCAGGAGUGCAGCAUCCCCUGAGGGCUGGAGCAGCUAUCUUGGUCACUGAGAACCCACGAGGUUCUUCCCUAGGUCACCCCAACUGAGAAGUACUGUCUGAGAAUGUAGGCAGAUCUUUUCAUGGCCCAGCCAGGCUUGUUGUAGCUUUUCUGUGCUUCAGGGCGUCCUGCAGAGAGCUGACAGUCCUAUGCAGCUGUUCCACAAGAGUGCAGCUCCACCCAAGGGCUGGAGCAGCUAGCUGGACUGAUGAAACCCCAAGAGGUUCUUCCCCAGUGCAGCCCAACUCAUAAAGACUGUCUGAGAAUUAGGCAGAUCUUUUCCCGGGCCGGUCAGGCUUGUUGUAGCUUUUCUGGGCUGCAGGGUGUCCUGCCUGUCACUAUCUCCCUUUUGAAUUCAAAGUCUGUCCAACUGCAGAGGUCUGUUUCAUUGUUGACUGCUUUAGUUGAAUUUUCCUGUUGCUUUUCCUGGGAAUGGUUUCUAAGGUUCUUCUUCUUGCUUGUGUUUUUCUUUUUCUGUGUAUUUGGGGGAAGACAAAUUGUAUUUUGGCACAGUCUGGGGCAUGCGUCAGCAGUGCAGUGCUUCCCGAGGGCCUUCAGGGUUGGCCUGGUCAUGCUGCCCUGGCUAGGCACUUCCCACGGGCAGUCAGGCUUGGCUGGGGUUCACUGUUGUGGUGGAGUUCUUCCCCAGGCCUGGUGAGGAUCACCAGUGCAUGCUGCACUGGUGGUAUACUUCCUGCCACUGGGUAGAACUUGCUGGGGUGCCCUUCAGCAGCAGGGGUCUUCCCAAAUGUGGGCCGGGCUGGCCAGUAGCUCCAUGGCAGUGGGGUGCUUCUUGAGGGUGAAGGAAGCUGGCCAGCCUGUGCCCUAUUGGAGUUGCACUACCCAAAGCUGGGCAGGGUUUGCCUGGGUACUCCAUAUCUGUGGGACACUUCCUGAGGGCAAGUGGUACUGGCAGGUGUGCACCAUGGUGGAGGAACCAUAAUUUUUUUCUUUGAUUUUUGGGUGGAAUUAAGGCGUUAUUGUCUAAAGUGUUCUGUCUUGCUUUUUUUGCCUUUUCUUUAACUAGAAAGAGUUCAUUUUUUUGUGAUUUUCUUUUUAAUCUAUACCUUUUGGCAUUUUUCAUUGCCAGAUUUCCAGGAUCUAGCUUAGUAUAAUUGAGGAAGCAAUCAAUAUCAGCUACAAGAAAUCAGGGAACUUAUCAUUAUGUUGUUUGUAAGAUCCCAAGAUCCCUAUUUGGUCUGCUUUAUCCUCUCCACCAUUCAGGGCUUUCUUGUUUUUGUUUUAUGUAUAAUGUCUGAGGAUUUUAGUUUAACUUAGCAGGAAGAAUAAGGAAAAGUACAUCUACUCCAUUUUUCUGAAAUAAAAAAUACCCUAAAUAUUUUUUUAACUUUAGAAUAACUUUGAGUUUAGACCAAAUUUUUCUCUUCCAUGACAGAGCCUACAGAACAGAGGGAAAAAAUCACCACAGGUUGAUGACAUUUUGAUUUUUGGUCUUCCUCAAUCUGCCUGCUACUCUUCAUUUUCUAGAGUCUUUGGGUUAUUGCUAUAUUUUUUUCUGUCAAGGUUUUAUAGAUGCAUUCAAUGGAAAACACAAGAUGAUAUGUUCUUGCUCCCCAUCUCAUCUGGAACUUGAAAUUCUGAAUUUGAACUUUCUUUUACACUUCUCUCCCAGGGAACCAGUUUCACACUGCUUUUCUCACUCCUUUAUCAAGAUAUGGCAUGAAAUCUUCAGUAACUUAAUAGUAAAAAUGAAAUGAUAAUAGAAUUAUGUCAAUGAGAAGUGUGUUAUUAUUUCCUUAUCAUAGUACCUAAAAUUUACUUAACAAAAAUAGCUUAAGCUACUUGUUGUGGUCCAGUGUUAGUGAACUCAACAAGUAUCCAUGAGUAUGUGGGAUCAAUCCCUGGCCUUGCUCAGUAGGUUAAGGACCUGGCAUUGCCACGAGCUAUGGUGUAGGUCACAGACAUGGCUCAAAUCUUGCAUUGUUGUUGCUAUAGCUCUGAUUCAACUUCUAGCCUGGAAACUUCCAUAUGCCACAGGCAUGGCCCUAAAAAAUAAAAAAAUACCUUAAGCUAAACAUCCUGUAUUUUUUUUCAUUAAAUUAAAAAAAAAACACUUAAAUUUACAGGUUGUUGAACAUGGAAACAAAUAUUAAUUGUUUUUAAAGAGCUAUUAAUCACUUGAUCAAAAAAAUCUAGAAAUAGGGAGGAUUUUUUCAAUAAAGGCUCUUGUUUCCAUUUUGUUAGUCAAUAAAAUCAUAAGCCUAAAGUUGGAAACAUUCUGUACAGAGUUUAUGGCAAACUAAUUUGCUUGUGCUUGUUUAUGUUCUAUAAUAUGUUAAAUCUAUUUGGCUACUGUUUAUAAAUGGUCAAAUAAGAUUUUAUGUUUUUAAACCCAAUUAGUAAAAAUAUUGUCAAAAUAUAGUAUUUUUAACACAGGAAACAAGUCAUUUGUAUUAUACAUUGAUCAUCUGAAUUAAAAAACAUAAAUUAUCAACCUUGAAACUUGAAAAUUUUCAUCUUUGGGGUCAUACUCUCUAGCCAAAGCUGAAUUAAAUAAUUAUUUAUCAAUAAGCUAGGACACCUGAGAUCAUAGCAAUGUUUUUUGGUCCAUUUAUCCUGUAUGGAAUGCUGAUUUUAAAAAGUACUGCUGAUACAUAGCUUUCUUUUUUCAUUAUUAAUUCUCUAAAGACAGAUAUUCUAUGACUCUGACUUAGCCAAAUCUAAAAGUUUCAUUAUUUUCAAUAUUUUGUAAGUAGUUUGAUUAUCAUAGUUUUGAAAAUUUUGUCUUUACAAACAUUUGCUCAUUAAUCAGUGAAAAAAUGCAUUGAUUUCAAAUUAUUUUAUGCAUAUUAUAUUUCAUUUUCUUAAAAUGAACCAAAUGUGUGAAACUUUUGAUCUUUCACCUCUUAUCCCAAGGGAUUUUUUCAUAUAAUAAUAAGAUUAAUACAUUUCAAUUUGGAAUAAUUUAUGGACAUCAUUGUAAGACAUUUUACAAAGAAAAAUCAUUAAUUUAUCAGAAAGUUUACUCUUUUGUUGGGAAUGACACAUCAGAAAAGCUUUGGUAACACAUUGCACUGUUUAUUAGGCAACAUACAAGGAACAAACACUGAAUUAUCAGUCUAAUACAAUGUUUUCUGCUAUUUAUUAUUAUACUUCCAUAUUCACUCUGUUCUUUUCCAGCUAGUAGAACACAUACACAUAUGUAAACACACAUUCACCUACAGAAUUACUUACUCAGCUCACACAGAUUCAUAUGCUAUAUACAGAGUGAGAGAGUGAGGUCCGUGUGUUUAUGAUGUAAAAAUACAAUCCAACAAUGACCCAGCUUAUCUAAAUUGUCAUGUUUUCUUGAUUUACUAAGACUCAUUGGAUAAUCUUUGACUGAGACAGGCUUCUUUAUUACUCUUAAUUAAUAAUAAUUAUUAAGAAAAUAUAUGGGGAGUUCCAGUUGUGGGUCAGUGGCCCUGCCCAGUGGGUUAAGGAUCUGACAUUGCUGUGAGCUAUGGUGUAGGUCACAGACAUGGCUUGGAUCUGGUGUUUCUGUGGCUGUGGUGUGGGCCAGAAGCUGAAGCCUGGAUUAGACUCUAGCCUGGGAAAUUCCAUAUGCCAUGGGUAGGGCCCUAAAAAAAAAGAAAAAAGAAAAAAA